rnacentral:rRNA from 1 species
UGGAAGUUUAGUGAACCUUAUCACUUAGAGGAAGGAGAAGUCGUAACAAGGUUUCCGUAGGUGAACCUGCGGAAGGAUCAUUCG